UUACAUCAGCAGUCAUCUACGUGAUAGAGAGUGGAUGCGGCAAGUCCCAGGCUGCCCAUCGGACAUCCACGAAAACCUUGUGGCUAAUACACGGAAGCAGAGGUCUCUCACACUACCGCUCCGGUGGGGCUCUGCCUUGCUGGAGAGUGAGGGACUACAACCAGCUGAGCUAAAAGACCGGCGCCUGAACAAGGCAAAGUCAUGUUGAAUCAGGCUGGUCCGUAUGGACACUGUGCUGGCUUCUGAGUCGUCUUCGGACGCAAGCUUGAUCACACGAACUUCUGACCUAUCAGCUACGACUGUGGUGUAGCGGACCACGGUGGCUAUGACGGGUAACGGAGAAUUUGGGUUCGAUUCCGGAGAGGGAGCCUGAGAGACGGCUACCACUGCCAAGGCGGGCAGCAGGCGCGCAAAUUGCCCAAUGCCAAAGCUGGUGAGGCAGCGACGAACUGCAGCAAUUCUGCUGGUCUUGUACCAGCAGGACUUGGAAUGGAUGCUAUCCAAACACAGUGAUGAGUAACGACUGGAGGGCAAGUCUGGUGCCAGCAGCUGCGGUAAUUCCAGCUCCAAGGGCGUAUACUAACAUUGCUGCUGUUAAAGCACUUGUAGUCUGCCACUGGGCAGCAGGUCUGCUGGGCGGCCUGGCAUGCGUUCUGAUCCCUUCGGGGUGAUGGCGUGUGCUGGGGUAAAACCCCCAGCAGUAUGUCCUGCUCCCGCAUUCAGUGAUGGUUGCGUAGUACUCCAGUUCGAAGUCCCCUUCAGUGGGGAUUGAGGCGGAUUCGCACCCCAAGCAUGCGUGGGGGUAGAGGCGGAGAGCGCUCUGUGCGCGAUCGCUGCCCACCACCGGAGUCCACCAUCAGUGACACCCUGGAAAACUCAGUGUGCUCCAAGCGACCUGCAAAGGCUGGAUGCCUAUCCAUGGAAUGUCAAAGCACCGACCUGAUGUGGCAGAGAUGUUGUGCCGGGCUUGAUGCCCAUUGAAGGACAAUAUGGGUCUGACCCCAGCAUCAGAGAGUUCCUCUUCCGAGAUGUUCAUCAGAUGACUGUGGGUCAGUCUCCAAACGAAGACGAUGGGAUUGCUCAGGGCGGAAGGUACUGCAACGCCAGAGGUGAAAUUCUUAGACCGCUGCAAGACCAACUGCAGCGAAGGCGUUCUGCAAGUGCAUGUUCGUCGAUCAAGAAUGAGAGUGUGGGGAGCGAAGAUGAUCAGACACCGUCGUAGUCCACAACUGUAAACCAUGCCAGCUCGGCAUUGGUGAGGCAAUCAUUGUAUGAACCAUAUCAGUGCCAUGCCCCCUUCAACGAGAAAUCCAAGCCAUUGGGUUCAGGGGGGAGUACUGUCGCAAGGCUGGAACUUAAAGGAAUUGACGGAAUGGCACCACAAGGCGUGGAGUAUGCGGCUUAAUUUGACUCAACACGGGAAAUGUUACCAGGUCAGGACCUUGCCAGGAUGGACAGAUUGAGAGCUCUUUCUUGAUCCUUGGGAUGGUGGUGCAUGGCCGCUCCUGAUUGGUGGAGUGAUUUGUCUGGUUGAUUCCGAUAACGAGUGAGAUAUCUGCCUGCCAAUAGCCCCAGUCUCGCACUUGUAGGGCGGGCCUCAGUGAGGUUCUGGUUCGCUGGUUCAGCGCUGCAGGUCCCCCGAGAGUUCUGGGCCGCUUCUCUGAGGUGCUGUGUUCGCUGCCAAGAGCACGCAUGCAAGAGCCAACAGCAGGUCUGUGAUGCUCCCAGAUGUCCUGGGCCGCACGCGCACUACAUUGAUUCAGUGAAGGUGUCAUGCUCCUUCGUGGAGCCCUGCCCAGAAGUGGGUGGGAAACCCUGCAAAACUGAUUCGCGAUGGGGAUAGAUGAUUGCAACUGUCUGCCUUGAACGAGGAAUGCCUAGUAUGCGCGUGUCAUCAGCACGCACCGAUUGUGUCCCUGCC
rnacentral:rRNA from 1 species